rnacentral:rRNA from 1 species
CAGUCGCCGCGGUAAUACGAGGGGAGCUAGCGUUAUUCGGAAUUACUGGGCGUAAAGCGCACGUAGGCGGCUUUGUAAGUUAGAGGUGAAAGCCCAGAGCUCAACUCUGGAAUUGCCUUUAAGACUGCAUCGCUUGAAUCCAGGAGAGGUGAGUGGAAUUCCGAGUGUAGAGGUGAAAUUCGUAGAUAUUCGGAAGAACACCAGUGGCGAAGGCGGCUCACUGGACUGGUAUUGACGCUGAGGUGCGAAAGCGUGGGGAGCAUACAGGAUUAGAUACCCCGGUAGUCCCUGUCUCUUAUAC